GGGGACAGAGGGCAGAGUGCACAGCCAUGAACAGAGCAGACAAGCACCUGCCAUGUGACACGCAAAUCACGCCUCACACUUCCUGCAGGUCCCGCAGCCUCGAGUACUAGGUGUUUUAAGAAAAACGAGAAGAAAAUAGUACCUGAAGCUUCCCGGAGGAAUGUUAUGGGCCCAGCUCUCUGGCAGCUUCAUUACCAGCUGGGCGACCUUGGGUCAAGUUUCUUCCCCUCCCCAAGCCUCAGUGUUGCCAACUGUACAGUGGGACUAAUCGAACCCGCUCAUGGAACUCUUAGGAGGGUAACGAAGAGCAGCCGCGCCAAGUGCCCGUCACAAGCCCAGGGUGGAGCAGUUUCUCAGAGCUGGCUGAGGUGCCGUCUCCUGGGCUGCAGUCCUCAUUUUGCUCCAAAUAAAACUGAACUCGCAGCUCUCAGGCUGGGCAUCAUCUUCAGUCAACGUCAGGAGAGAGCAGAGGAGACACACGGCGGCACCUGACUCAGACAGGGACUCCUCCCUAGCGUGGCGGCGGGCUCCUCACUGUGGUGGCUGCUCCUGUUGCAGAGCCCGGGCUCCAGGGUCUGGUGAGCCCCUCUUUCAAUUAAACAACAUUUGGUAAGUUCUUCCUGCAAAAGGAGGACAAAAACAGACAAACAAGAAACAACAGCUGGGGGACAAAGGCAGAAGAUGAAAGGAUCUCACAUGAACUGAUGGCAGAUGCUUCUGUUUUUAAAAAACGUUUAUUUAUUUGUGGCUGUAUUGGGUCUUAGCUUCUCUCGAG